rnacentral:lncRNA from 1 species
AAAUUAUGAAGAAAAAAAUAGGCUACCUUAUUAAUAUAUUAGUAAAAACAUAGGUGUUGAAAAAUCACAAAAAAAACUUAUGUCCAUGUAUUAAUAUAUGAGUAUAAAUANNNNNAAUUAUUAAAAAAUAGGCAAUCAUAUUAAAAUGUUAGUGAAAAUAUAGGAUAGGUCUCGCCACAGUCAUCAAAAUAAUUAGGUCAUCGUAUUAAAUAUGAGUAUAACCAGAAAAAUUGUAAAAAAAAUA